GCCUCGGUGGCGCAGCUGGUAGCGCGUAAGCUCUUACACACUUAAGGUCGUGAGUUCGAACCUCACCCGAGGUG